GAUGUGUGGUCAAGCGAGCGAAAGCAUGUGGGGGAUGCCUGGGCACACAGAGGCGAUGAAGGCCGUGGUAAGCUGCGAUAAGCUCGGGGGAGCGGCAAACACGCAUUGAGCCCGAGAUGGCCGAAUGGGGAAACCCGGCCGGUGGCAACACCGGUCAUCCGCGCAAGCGGAAGCGAACCUGGGGAACUGAAACAUCUCAGUACCCAGAGGAAGAGAAAUCAACCGAGAUGCCCCAAGUAGCGGCGAGCGAACGGGGUACAGCCCAAACCGGAAGCCUUCGGGCCUCCGGGGUUGUAGGACCCACGGACGCGACAUGGAACGCUAGACGAAGUCCCCUGGGAAGGGGCGCCACAGACGGUGAUAGCCCGGUAGUCGACAGCCAGUACGUGUCGUAGUGGAGUUCCUGAGUAACGCCCGACCCGAGAAAUCGGGCGUGAACCUGGGGGGACCACCCUCCAAGGCUAAAGACUCCUGUGUGACCGAUAGUGGACGAGUACCGUGAGGGACAGGUGAAAAGCACCCCUGUGCGGGGAGUGAAAUAGUUCCUGAAACCACAUGCUUACAAGCGGUAGGAGGGCGGCUCCGGGCAACCGGAGAGCGCCUGACUGCGUGCCUUUUGCAUUAUGAUCCGGCGAGUUACUCCUCGGACGCGAGGCUAAGCGUUUAUGGCGCGGAGCCAGAGCGAAAGCGAGUCCUGUAACGAGGGCGCUUGGAGUGUCCGGGGGUACGACCCGAAGCCAGGGCGAUCUACCCAUGAGCAGGGUGAAGCUGCGGUAACACGUAGUGGAGGCCCGAACCGGUGUGGGUUGAAAACCGCUCGGAUGACUUGUGGGUAGGGGUGAAAGGCCAAUCAAGCCUGGAGAUAGCUGGUUCUCACCGAAAUCUAUUGAGGUAGAGCCUCAGAGCGUGGUUCGCGGGGGUAGAGCGACUGGAUGGGCGCGGGCUGGCGAAGCUGGUACCAACCCCAACCAAACUCCGAAUACCGUCGAACUGGACUCUGGGAGGCAGUCGUUGAGCGAUAAUGUCCAACGGCGAGAGGGAAAGAACCCAGAGCCACAGCUAAGGCCCCGAAGUGGCCGCUGAGUAUAGCGAAGGAUGUGUUUCUGCCGUGACAACGAGGAGGUUGGCUUAGAAGCAGCCAUUCCUUUAAAGAGUGCGUAAUAGCUCACUCGUCCAGCGGGAAUGCGCCGAGAAUGGUCGGGAUUAAGCGGCCCGCCGAAGCUUGGCCUGCAGACGUCGUCUGCGGGGUAGGUGAGCGUUCCGGGAGGGAUGAAGGGACCGGGGAACCGUUGUCCUGGACCGACCGGAAGUGAGGAUGCCGGAAUGAGUACGCGCAAAUGCGGGUGAAAACCCCGCACACCGUAAGCCCAAGGAUUCCUGCGCCAUGGCAAUCAGCGCAGGGUGAGGCGGACCCUAAGGCGAGGCCCCAGAGGCGUAGCCGAUGGACAGCAGGUCAAGAUUCCUGCCCCGCUUCAGGUACGUCAUGACCCACCAGGGGACCGUGGAACGAAGGGCCGGCGGCUUUGUGGAUGGCCGUCCAACCGCGUAGGCGCAAGCCGAGACGGGAGUGCAAGGUGAGGGGUUCGCCCCGAUCCGAGCGGUCUGGAGUCGACACGCGAGAAAAGCCUGGUGUGGCAGUACCUGGAACGUCCGUACCGUAAACCGACACAGGUGGGCGAGGCGAGCAGCCUCAGGUGAACGAGUGAAACGUGGUCAAGGAACUCGGCAUAUUGAUCCCGUAACUUCGGAAGAAGGGAUGCCUGAUGGGGUGAGGCGUACAGCGCAGCUCCGUCAGGUCGCAGCGAAUCGGCCCAAGCGACUGUUUAGCAAAAACACAGGUGUGUGCAAAGCCGCGUAAGGCGCCGUAUACACACUGACGCCUGCCCGGUGCCGGAAGGUUAAGGGGAGAGGUUAGCCUGGGGUAACCCGGGCGACGCCUUGAGCCGAAGCCCCGGUAAACGGCGGCCGUAACUAUAACGGUCCUAAGGUAGCGAAAUUCCUUGUCGGGUAAGUUCCGACCUGCACGAAUGGCGUAACGACUUGGGCACUGUCUCGACCACGUGCUCGGCGAAAUUGCAGUCUCGGUGAGGAUUCCGAGUCCCCGCAGCAGGACAAAAAGACCCCAUGCACCUUUACUGUAGCUUGUCAUUGGACGUCGCUCGAAACUGUGUAGCAUAGGUGGGAGCCGUUGAGGCCCGGGCGCCAGCUCGGGCGGAGGCAUCAGUGAAAUACCACCCUGGUUCGUGUAACGUCCUCACCAGUUUGGGCAAACCCCAGCUGGGACCGUGGCAGGUGGGCAGUUUGACUGGGGCGGUCGCCUCCGAAACAGUAACGGAGGCGCGCGCAAGGUCCCCUCAGCGCGGUCGGUACUCGCGCUUCUAGAGUGUAACGGCAGAAGGGGGCCUGACGGUGAGAUCGACGGAUCGAGCCGCCACGAAAGUGGGCCGUAGUGAUCCGGUAGCCCGGUGUGGAGCGGCUAUCGCGCAACGGAUAAAAGGUACGCUGGGGAUAACAGGCUUAUCGCGCCCGAGAGUUCACAUCGACGGCGCGGUUUGGCACCUCGAUGUCGGCUUAUCACAUCCUGGGGCUGGAGAAGGUCCCAAGGGUCCGGCUGUUCGCCGGUUAAAGUGGUACAUGAGCUGGGUUCAGAACGUCGUGAGACAGUUCGGUCUGUAUCCGCUGUGGGCGUUGGAGCAUUGAUGGGUGCGGACUCUAGUACGAGAGGACCGAGUCGGACGACCCGCUCGUGUCCCGGUUGCCUCGCCAGAGGCAACGCCGGGUAGCGAUGGUCGGUGGCGAUAACCGCUGAAAGCAUCUAAGUGGGAAGCGCCCCCAAAGAUGAAUGCUCCCUGGAGCUUCGAGCUCCCUCAAGGGCCGGGGAAGACUACCCCGUCGAUAGGCCACACGUGGAAGCGCCGCGAGGCGUUCCGAGCGCAGUGGUCCUAAUCGCCCGUGCGGCUUGACUACUUCCAAGCAAGCAGCG
rnacentral:rRNA from 1 species